rnacentral:misc_RNA from 1 species
UAAAGAAAUCAUUAAAGCAUCCACUUUUAAUUCCGGAAUCGGUAGUUAAUUCCUUACAUAGAAUCUGGUAACCUUGACCCACCAUAUGGUAGAGGGCCCUACAAAAUUCAUCAUUCACUGUCCAAGAAAAUGAGAAGCAUCUGCACAAUGUAAGCAUUGAAUUCUCCAAUAAAUAGCGAAAGCAAUCCUUAAUGUUUGAUUUAGCCAACAUUUCUAAGGAUGCAGAUUAAAUUAACACCAAGCACAGAUGAACAACCUUAAUCAAGACAAACCCAAUUUCAGGUCAAACUACCAUAAAGAAAACAACACCCCAAGAAAGAAAGAAAGAAAAAAUGUAGAAGACAACUCGAUUUCCCUUCACAAAUAGGUUGAAGAAAUGUAGGAGAUGGUAUGGAUCCUCAUAAGAAAGCUAUAGAAAAUGCUACUACCAGAAGUGGACAAAUGCAUCCCACAAAGCACCAAUAGCAAGAACAGCUGGGAGAACAUACUGGCCUCUGAGAUUGAAACUUGGAGAGGCACUGUUCUCAUUCAAGGAGGCAGCUGUAGGAGGGGGAGGUGGGUUUUCAACAUGAACAGCUAGCUUCAUUCCACCAAAACAGAACCCUUUACCACUGAUUAAAUAGUAGUUGCGAGUCACAUUCAGUGGAACCACAUCUCUUCCGGCUCCCCUAGUCCAGUUGUGAAGAGGAUGAUCAGAGUUACAUGACUCAUAAUCUGUCUUGUUCACCUCUAGCACAUUCAUCUGGUUCCUAUCGUACACAAAAAAGAGCCAAUCCCCAUUGUAGAAAUGCUUGUCUUUAGCCCAAACAGUAUAAUUCACAUUGGUAGUCCAGCCCAUAUUACCUCCUACAAUCCAUCUAGUUGCAGACACUUCUGGUACCAAAACCGCCAUUAGCACCACCGCCAAAGUGACCACCAUCAAGACAGGCAAGCCAGACCCACAUCCUCUCUUCACUCGCUCCAUCUCCUCCCUCUCUCUCUGUAGCGCAAGACGUUAUGCUUUUGGCUUUUCUUGGCUUGGUUUAUUUAUUAUAUGAUGUAGUACAGAGACCACAGAGCAGCAGCUGCUUAUCAAGAAAAGGUUACUUGUUUAGCUUCUAGCUAGAUCUAUUAAACCACCAUGGAUUAAUCUAUUUUGAAAAUCUUGGGUGUUAACCUCCAUGGAUUCUAAGUGAUUGGGACAAGCUGUCGCUAUUUAGCUUUCAAGCUCAAU